ACGCUCGACACCUACGGGAGGCAGCAGUGGGGAAUAUUGCACAAUGGGGGAAACCCUGAUGCAGCGACGCCGCGUGAGUGAAGAAGUAUUUCGGUAUGUAAAGCUCUAUCAGCAGGGAAGAAGAUGACGGUACCUGAGUAAGAAGCCCCGGNUAACUACGUGCCAACAGCCGCGGUAAUCUGAGCGGCUGGCAAGGC
rnacentral:rRNA from 1 species